UGCAGAUGCUGAAAAAGUCUAAAUGUUCAGAUGUAGAAGUGAUAGAGUAUAAAAGCCUCACUGAGAAAGAAAUACUUGAACCUAAGCCUAAAGCACGAAAAAUCGUGAGGCAAAAGCUCGAAGCCAUAUUAACAAAGAAGUUGGGUUUCACAGAAGAGGCAAAGAGUAAUCAAAUGAAAAGAGAAGAAGGCAUGUGGUUAGUUUGCACUCUAUUCCCUGAAACAUACGAGUUCAAUAAGGAAACACUUGUUCAAUUAUGGAUGGCAAGAGGUUUCCUAAACAAUAACAAUGAUGAUUACAAGAAGCAAAUAGGAGAUACCUGUUUUGGUGGAAGAGGGAUGCAUUGAAUGCUCGCGAACAUGCUUUUCGUCAACAGCGGAAAGCAAAUACAAAGUUAAUGUUGUACAUAUGAAGAGUUCGACAACAAUAGACACGCCGCUGUAUCUUAGAUUGAGCACAUCAGAACUUCAGAAAAACGACGUCCCUAAAAAGUCGAGAAUUUAUCUUUAUGGAGUAAUGAACCUAAUCAAUCCAUGUUCAACCACAUAGAAAAACUUGAGAAUUUGAGAGCACUUUUGCUACUUCAGCCAGCAAUUCAGGAGUUCCAACAAACCUAUAAAUCCACUAGCAUGAUCUACAAAAUUCCACCAGGUAUAUUCUCGAAGUUGAAGCAUUUGCAAGUCUUGAACUUGAGUGGAUUUCCUAUAAUAGACCUGCCAAGUUCCAUAGGAGAAACAAAGGAAUUGCGGUACCUUGAUCUUUCAUAUACACUGAUUGAACUAUUACCUGUGACAAUUUGCCUUCUUUCGAACUUGGAAACCUUGAAACUCCGGGGUUGUGUUCGCUUGGUUAGGCUACCAGAAGGGAUCAUAAAGUUGACCUCCCUUCUUCAUUUGGAUCUCAACAUUCUAAGCCAGCUAUCAUUAUUGCCGAAAGGGAUAGGAAAGCUUACCGCCCUUGAAACUUUAUCAGCAUUCCUCGUUGACAAGGAAUAUGGCCGUAGAAUCAAUGAGCUAGGUUAUAUGAAUAACCUCGAGGGUAGCUUAUGCAUCUCACAAUUGGAGAGGGUUUCAAAUAGUAGUGAGGCCAAGGAAGCCGCUUUAAGUCACAAGAAGCACCUUAAGAGGUUGGAGCUAAGAUGGAGCGCGCCUAGAUUGAGCAGGAAAAAAAACCAAGAGCUAGAAUAUGAAGUUCUUGAUAACCUUUGUCCACCUUCAAGUAUCGAGGAUCUAGAAAUAUCAGGCUAUGGUGGCUUGAUAUUUCCUAAUUGGAUCGGCGAUUCCAAAGUCCUCCAUAUGCUAUUAGCAUAACCCUCAUUAAAUGCGAGAACCCUAAGCUUCUUCCAUCACUUGGUGAGCUACCUUUGCUCCAAACUAUUCAUUUAAUCGACAUCAAGAGGAUUAAAAAGAUGGGUUCUGAAUUGCAUUCCCUGAAUUAAGGAAGCUCACUAUUGUUGGCUUGUCAUACUUGGAUACAUGGAGUGGAGUUAAGGAAGGAGAUUUUCCGCUCCUUAACCAGCUUAUAAUAGAGAAUUGUCCUAAACUGACCGCGCUUCCAUCACUCGAAUCUUUUCAUUCACUGAAGCAAUUGGAAAUAAGUCAAUGUACUAAGCUCUCUUCUUGGUCACAAGUAGAGUUUCCAUCCUCAUUGAACAUGUUGGUUGUAGAAAAUUGUCCUUCCUUCAAAAAGAGGUAUGGUAAACCCAAUAAUAAGGAUCGCACGAAGCUUAUGCAAGUGAAUAAUGUGUGGAUUGAUCAUGAAGAGAUCACAAAAGCCGGUAAUGUUGCAAUUCAAGUUAUGUGACGACAAUGGCUCCAUUUGGUAGAGGAAGAGGAUCUUUGAAGCUCGGCACUUGGUAUCAAUCCAUUCUGCGAUGCAUAAAUAAGAAAGCUUCGCAUCCAAGCCGAUCACUCAAUCAACAAAGUAAAGUAUAUCAUACCAAUGGUAUCAAAGUGCUUUAUUAUGAGAUUAGAGUUAAACUUUCUACAAGAAGAACCAACACUAAAGUUAAAUUUCCUACAUCAUAGUGGUCUUAUGAUGAUAAAGCGACCGUAUUUAUAGGGAAAUUCCCUGUUUCUCAUAUUGAGAAACAAAAUUUGUUUCUCAUGAGGGCAUUUUCGUGAAUAAAUCAACAACUUUUUCAUUAUUAUGGGUUCCACAAUUGAAUAAAGUUGUUGGUUUAAUUACGUAAAUGACACGUGAGAAAUAAAUUUUGUUUAAUUUCUAGAAAUUGGGCAUCCCCUUAUUUAUAUAUGUGAUCUAUGAUAUAUUGGCGUGCAAGGAGCCUAUUGGACUUGUGCCAGUUGACCACACAGAAAUGACCAGGUCCCUGUCAGGUGCGUGCCUGCCUUCUAUAAA